rnacentral:rRNA from 1 species
UACGUAGGGGGCAAGCGUUGUUCGGAUUUAUUGGGCGUAAAGAGCGUGUAGGCGGCUAGAUAGGUCCGUUGUGAAAACUCGAGGCUCAACCUCGAGACGUCGAUGGAAACCAUCUGGCUAGAGUCCGGAAGAGGAGAGUGGAAUUCCUGGUGUAGCGGUGAAAUGCGCAGAUAUCAGGAAGAACACCCGUGGCGAAGGCGGCUCUCUGGUACGUGACUGACGCUGAGACGCGAAAGCGUGGGGAGCAAACAGG